CUCACUUCGGUGGCACAGACUAAAACUGGAACAAUACAGAGAAGAUUAGCAUCGUCCCUAUAAGAGAGUGACAUGCAAACUAGUGACGUGUUCUGCAUUUUU
rnacentral:snRNA from 1 species